GGGAAUGUGGCUUAGUGGUAGAGUGCUUGCCUAGCACACAUCAAGCCCUGGGUUCGAUUCCUCAUUACCA
rnacentral:tRNA from 1 species